AGUUUCUAAAUACCACGGCACCAAUAUGGACUGUUUUUGGUUCACCUGGUGUCAUUUGCAAAGUAGACUGAAAUAAAUAAUGAAAGCGACACUACAGUUUACCUGAACAGGACAUACACUAGCGGCCCUCGAAGCAACACGUCCUGGGUGCUUAAAGGACUGUUUUCUAACAUUGCUAGCGACACUGGUCAUCACACCGUGGUUCUUUAUCACACAGAAAUGAAAAAUGUCUUCGUUUCACGGGAAACCUUGCUGUAUAAAGGUGAAAGAAGCAUUUGUGGCAUCUUUAGGAGAGAGGGUCCAAUUUCAGGCACUAUCUGCGAAGUGCGUGUAAGAGGGUCGGACGAACUUGUGGAGGCUGCAGACUGCCUAAACAUGUUUUUCCACUACUGCAGACGCACGUACAGGUACAUCGAAGUUUGUGGUGCGCCGUCACCAUCUGUGGUCAUUGCUGGCACCAAGUUAGGUUGAGCUUUACAGCAGUGUACAAGGAAAUACUUCCCAGAAACCACCGAUCAAGAGAAAAAAAUUCUUCCCAUAUCAAGGACUAUUCACUUUAAAUUUAGUCUUCCACUUUAAACUCGUCAGAAAUUCGCGGAAUGUAUGUUGUUCAUUGCCAAUGUAACCACACAAAAAUAAACAUGUUGAAGCCAGAACCAUUUGAGAAAAUCUAUUUACAUACCUGAAUUAAUGGCGGUGCAUUUUUGUCGUUAACCGGAACUGUGCUGCUAUGAUCAGGGCCCAAAAUUGAGUAAAUCGUGGUUACUAGAUGGAUUUCAUUUUCUCAGGUGCUGUGUGAUGUGUUCAAUUGGCCGCUACUGGUUGGCUUGUGUGUUCUCCUGCGGCGUCACCGCACUUUACGACUUAAUAAUUCCUCUCAAAUACACAGUCACAAUGGUGCUCAAUACUUGAGUUCUGGUCUUUGUAAAAACCCGGAAGGUAUGU